rnacentral:rRNA from 1 species
GACGAACGCUGGCGGCGUGCCUAAUACAUGCAAGUAGAACGCACAGUUUAUACCGUAGCUUGCUACACCAUAGACUGUGAGUUGCGAACGGGUGAGUAACGCGUAGGUAACCUGCCUGGUAGCGGGGGAUAACUAUUGGAAACGAUAGCUAAUACCGCAUAAUAUUGAUUAUUGCAUGAUAAUUGAUUGAAAGAUGCUAUUGCAUCACUACCAGAUGGACCUGCGUUGUAUUAGCUAGUAGGUGAGGUAACGGCUCACCUAGGCGACGAUACAUAGCCGACCUGAGAGGGCGAUCGGCCACACUGGGACUGAGACACGGCCCAGACUCCUACGGGAGGCAGCAGUAGGGAAUCUUCGGCAAUGGACGAAAGUCUGACCGAGCAACGCCGCGUGAGUGAAGAAGGUUGUCGGAUCGUAAAGCUCUGUUGUAAGAGAAGAACGGGUGUGAGAGUGGAAAGUUCACACUGUGACGGUAUCUUACCAGAAAGGGACGGCUAACUACGUG